CAAGCACGCUCACCAUGAAGCAAUGACACAGCACAGCGUCUCCUCGCAGCUAAGCUUCCACAGGGCUAACGGGAAAAAGAGUCAAGCUCCUUCCCUCUCUGAUUUCCUCAUAACAAGCACUAGAUUCCAGUGCAAUCCAGAAAAGGGAAUAUGUAAGACCUGCUCCAGGAUAAAGUGGCCUAUCCACUGCAAGACAAGAACUUGACGAGUGGGAGUCAGAGAAGCACAUGUAGGGGCAAAGGGCUGGAAGAGCAUUUCACCGGGGCAGGAGAAGUGCAUCGGUGAGAGGGCAACUGUUCCUUGAAGUGCUCUGAAGUGACUGCUCUGGAGGCUGGAGAUGGAGGUGAAGGUGCUGCGGGGCAACUGGUUUCCCUAGUUUUAAUGGGAGCAGCAGA